rnacentral:rRNA from 1 species
CCUACGGGAGGCAGCAGUGGGGAAUAUUGCACAAUGGGGGAAACCCUGAUGCAGCGACGCCGCGUGAGUGAAGACGUAUUUCGGUAUGUAAAGCUCUAUCAGUAGGGAAGAAAAUGACGGUACCUGAUUAAGAAGCCACGGCUAACUACGUGCCAGCAGCCGCCGUCAUUCGUAGGGGGCAAGCGUUAUCCGGAUUUAUUGGGUGUAACGGGAGCGUGGACGGCAGUACAAGUCUGGAGGGAAAUGCCGGGGCUUAACCCCGGAACUGCUGUGGAAACUGUGCAGCUUGAGUGCAGGAGAGGUAAGUGGAAUUCCUAGUGUAGCGGUGAAAUGCAUAGAUAUUAGGAGGAACUCCAGUGGCGAAGGCGGCUUACUGGACUGUAACUGACGUUGAGGCUCGAAAGCGUGGGGAGCAAACAGGAUUAGAUACCCGAGUAGUC